rnacentral:tRNA from 1 species
GACUGCAUAACGUAGUGGAUUAGCGUGUCUUACUUCGGAUCAGAAGGUUGUGGGUUCGACUCCCACUAUGAUUG